UCGAAUGGCCUUUGAAGUCAUGAGUCAAAA
rnacentral:piRNA from 1 species